GCAAACUUGGUCAUUUAGAGGAAGUAAAAGUCGUAACAAGGUUUCCGUAGGUGAACCUGCGGAAGGAUCAUUAUCGAGUUUUGAACGGGUUGUUGCUGGCCUCAUACGGGGCAUGUGCACGCCUGACUUCAUCCACUCUUCAACCUCUGUGCACUUAUUGUAGGCUAGCGUGAAAGGUCGCAUUCAUUUGCGGCUGGAAGCCUGUCUACGUUUUACUACAAACGCUUCAGUUAUAGAAUGUUUAUCUGCGUAUAACGCAUUUAUAUACAACUUUCAGCAACGGAUCUCUUGGCUCUCGCAUCGAUGAAGAACGCAGC
rnacentral:misc_RNA from 1 species